UUUUAUUUUUGUCUGGCUUUAAAACUGGGAUUAAACAGUCUGUUUUCCAUUCUGGAGGAAUAGUAUUCUCCUUCCAUAGGCGAUUAAGAUUAUUUAAAAAGAUGUUGAGACUGUGGCAAUUAAGUUUUUUGAGUAAAAUAUAUGGAAUGGUAUCGAGACCGAAAGAUGUAUCUCUUCUAGUAAAUAAAGCGGAUUUUAGUUCUUGUAAAGAAAAAGGCUCUAUCAAAUAUUUAUUACUAUCAUUAACAACAUUUACAUAGUUAGUUAACUUAUUUGAUACAAAGUCAGAAGUAUACUUUUGUAGAAAAUCUGGAAUCCAACUAUCAUUCAACACACUGUCAGGAAUCAUUUAAAACUGCUUCUGUACACCUCUGAUUCCACCAAGGCGACCAAGGAUAUUUAAAAGAUUUUUGUGAACAAGAACUAGUAACAUUAUUACUAUUAGAACUUUUGGAAAACAGACAGCUAGGGAUUGACUGCUUGGCAGCAGAAAGUAAAAUAUUACAAAAGGAAUUAAAAGCAUCUAUUGAAGAUAAAGUGUCAAAUUUAACAUCAUCCAAAUAAGAAACAACUAAGUUACUAUACAUAUUCCAAUUCACCUGCUUAUAAUUAGGGGAGAUGAUAACUACUGCCCAGAGGACUGUCAAUAACUGACCAGUCACAUAAAAGAGCCAAUGAUGGAGUUACCAAAGUCAAGUCAAGAGCAUUAGGACGCCAAGAUGGAGAUCCUAUUGUGGUAGCUUGACCAUUAUUCAGAAUAACAAGACC